rnacentral:rRNA from 1 species
CAGUCGCCGCGGUAAUACGGAGGGUGCAAGCGUUAAUCGGAAUUACUGGGCGUAAAGCGCACGCAGGCGGUCUGACAAGUCAGAUGUGAAAUCCCCGGGCUUAACCUGGGAACUGCAUUUGAAACUGUCAGGCUGGAGUCUUGUAGAGGGGGGUAGAAUUCCAGGUGUAGCGGUGAAAUGCGUAGAGAUCUGGAGGAAUACCGGUGGCGAAGGCGGCCCCCUGGACAAAGACUGACGCUCAGGUGCGAAAGCGUGGGGAGCAAACAGGAUUAGAGACCCCUGUAGUCCCUGUCUCUUAUAA